AGUGACAGAGCAGUUUAAGUCUGAGCUCUCACAGCAGGACUGACACUCAGUUAUUGGAGAAGGAGCUCUCCCAGCAGGACUGACACUCAGUUAUUGGAGAAGGAGCUCUCCCAACUGGACUGACACUCAAUUAUUGGAGAAGGAGCUCUCACAGCAGGACUGACACUCAGUUAUUGGAGAAGGAGCUCUCCCAACUGGACUGACACUCAGUUAUUGGAGAAGGAGCUCUCACAGCAGGACCGACACUCAGUUAUUGGAGAAGGAGCUCUCACAGCAGGACUGACACUCAAUUAUUGGAGAAGGAGCUCUUCCAGCAGGACUGACACUCAGUUAUUGGAGAAGGAGCUCUUCCAGCAGGACUGACACUCAGUUAUUGGAGAAGGAGCUCUUCCAGCAGGACUGACACUCAGUUAUUGGAGAAGGAGCUCUUCCAGCAGGACUGACACUCAGUUAUUGGAGAAGGAGCUCUUCCAGCAGGACUGACACUCAGUUAUUGGAGAAGGAGCUCUUCCAGCAGGACUGACACUCAGUUAUUGGAGAAGGAGCUCUUCCAGCAGGACUGACACUCAGUUAUUGGAGAAGGAGCUCUUCCAGCAGGACUGACACUCAGUUAUUGGAGAAGGAGCUCUUCCAGCAGGACUGACACUCAGUUAUUGGAGAAGGAGCUCUUCCAGCAGGACUGACACUCAGUUAUUGGAGAAGGAGCUCUUCCAGCAGGACCGACACUCAGUUAUUGGAGAAGGAGCUCUUCCAGCAGGACUGACACUCAGUUAUUGGAGAAGGAGCUCUCCCAACUGGACUGACACUCAGUUAUUGGAGAAGGAGCUCUCCCAACUGGACUGACACUCAAUUAUUGGAGAAGGAGCUCUCCCAGCAGGACUGACACUCAG